GCAGGGCGCUGCUAUACAUGCAGUCGAACGAGCUCUGGUAUUGAUUGGUGCUUGCAUCAUGAUUUACAUUUGAGUGAGUGGCGAACUGGUGAGUAACACGUGGGAAACCUGCCCAGAAGCGGGGGAUAACACCUGGAAACAGAUGCUAAUACCGCAUAACAACUUGGACCGCAUGGUCCGAGCUUGAAAGAUGGCUUCGGCUAUCACUUUUGGAUGGUCCCGCGGCGUAUUAGCUAGAUGGUGGGGUAACGGCUCACCAUGGCAAUGAUACGUAGCCGACCUGAGAGGGUAAUCGGCCACAUUGGGACUGAGACACGGCCCAAACUCCUACGGGAGGCAGCAGUAGGGAAUCUUCCACAAUGGACGAAAGUCUGAUGGAGCAACGCCGCGUGAGUGAAGAAGGGUUUCGGCUCGUAAAACUCUGUUGUUAAAGAAGAACAUAUCUGAGAGUAACUGUUCAGGUAUUGACGGUAUUUAACCAGAAAGCCACGGCUAACUACGUGCCAGCAGCCGCGGUAAUACGUAGGUGGCAAGCGUUGUCCGGAUUUAUUGGGCGUAAAGCGAGCGCAGGCGGUUUUUUAAGUCUGAUGUGAAAGCCUUCGGCUCAACCGAAGAAGUGCAUCGGAAACUGGGAAACUUGAGUGCAGAAGAGGACAGUGGAACUCCAUGUGUAGCGGUGAAAUGCGUAGAUAUAUGGAAGAACACCAGUGGCGAAGGCGGCUGUCUGGUCUGUAACUGACGCUGAGGCUCGAAAGUAUGGGUAGCAAACAGGAUUAGAUACCCUGGUAGUCCAUACCGUAAACGAUGAAUGCUAAGUGUUGGAGGGUUUCCGCCCUUCAGUGCUGCAGCUAACGCAUUAAGCAUUCCGCCUGGGGAGUACGGCCGCAAGGCUGAAACUCAAGGAAUUGACGGGGGCCCGCACAAGCGGUGGAGCAUGUGGUUUAAUUCGAAGCUACGCGAAGACCUUACCAGGUCUUGACAUACUAUGCUAAUCUAAGAGAUAGACGUUCCCUUCGGGACAUGGAUACAGUGUUGCAUGAGUCGUCAGCUCGUGUCGUGAGAUGGUGGUUAGUCCCGCACGAGCGCACCCAUAUAUCAGUGGCAGCAUUAGUUGGGCACUCUGGUGAACUGCAGGUGACCACCGAGAACGGUGGAUGACGUCAAUCAUCAUGCCUUAUGGACUGGGGCUACACAGCGUGGCGUCGCA
rnacentral:rRNA from 1 species